UACGUAGGAUCCAAGCGUUAUCCGGAUUUAUUGGGUUUAAAGGGUGCGUAGGUGGCUUAUUAAGUCAGGGGUGAAAGACGGUAACUCAACUAUCGCAGUACCUUUGAUACUGACGGGCUUGAAUGAACUAGAGGUAGGCGGAAUGUGACAAGUAGCGGUGAAAUGCAUAGAUAUGUCACAGAACACCAAUUGCGAAGGCAGCUUACUAUGGUUUUAUUGACACUGAGGCACGAAAGCGUGGGGAUCAAACAGG
rnacentral:rRNA from 1 species